AGAUGACCAACAGACUCAUGAAAAGAUGUUCAAUAUCACUAAUCAUCAGGAAAACACAAAUCAAAACAACAGUGAAAUAUUAUCUCACACC